GGGCGCAAGCCUGAUGCAACCAUGCCGCGUGUAUGAAGAAUGCCUUCGGGUUGUAAAGUACUUUCAUCAGUGAGGAAGGGGGUGUCGUUAAUAACAGCAUCUCUUGACGUUAGCUGCACAAGAAGCACCGGCUAACUCCGUGCCAGCAGCCGCGGUAAUACGGAGGGUGCGAGCGUUAAUCGGAAUUACUGGGCGUAAAGCGCAUGCACGUGGUUUGUUAAGUCAUAUGUGAAAGCCCGGGGCUCAACCUCGGAACUGCAUUUGAAACUGGCAAACUAGAGUACUGUAGAGGGGGGUAGAAUUUCAGGUGUAGCGGUGAAAUGCGUAGAGAUCUGAAGGAAUACCAGUGGCGAAGGCGGCCCCCUGGACAGAUACUGACACUCAGAUGCGAAAGCGUGGGGAGCAAACAGGAUUAGAUACCCUGGUAGUCCACGCCGUAAACGAUGUCUACUUGGAGGUUGUGGCCUUGAGCCGUGGCUUUCGGAGCUAACGCGUUAAGUAGACCGCCUGGGGAGUACGGUCGCAAGAUUAAAACUCAAAUGAAUUGACGGGGGCCCGCA
rnacentral:rRNA from 1 species